rnacentral:tRNA from 1 species
UCGAUAUCGGGGAACGCUACGGACUUAAAAUCCGUCGACUUUAUAAGUCGUGAGGGUUCAAGUNNNUCUAUCCCCA